rnacentral:misc_RNA from 1 species
GAGAAGAACGCAGUGAAAUGCGAUAAGUAAUGUGAAUUGCAGAAUUCAGUGAAUCAUCGAAUCUUUGAACGCACCUUGCGCCCUUUGGCCAUUCCGAAGGGCAUGCCUGUUUGAGUAUCAUGAACACCUCAACUCUUUAUGGUUUUCCAUGAUGAGCUUGGACUCUGGGGGUUUUGCUGGCUCACAGUCGGCUCCUCUAAAAUGAAUCAGCUUACCAGUGUUUGGUGGGUAUCAUGGGUGUGAUAACUAUCUACGCUUGUGGUUUUUCCACCAGGUAACCUUCAGCAGUGGAGGUUCGCUGGAGCUCAUAGAUGUCUCUCCUCAGUGAGGACAGCCCUUUGAAUGUUUGAUCUCAAAUCAGGUAGGACUACCCGCUGAACUUAAGAAUAUCAAUAAGCGGAGGA